GUCGUUUCCGUAGUAGCAUGGCGGCCACGGAGGAUGAGCGGCCGGCGGGGAGCGGAGAGGGAGAGCGGCUGGAUUUCCUGCGCGACCGGCACGUGCGGUUCUUCCAGCGUUGCCUCCAGGUCUUGCCGGAGCGCUACUCUUCGCUCGAGACCAGCAGGUUGACUAUUGCAUUUUUUGCACUCUCCGGGCUGGAUAUGUUGGACUCCUUAGAUGUGGUGAACAAGGAUGAUAUAAUAGAGUGGAUUUACUCCCUGCAGGUCCUUCCCACAGAAGACAGAUCAAAUCUAAAUCGCUGUGGUUUCCGAGGCUCUUCAUACCUUGGUAUUCCAUUCAAUCCAUCAAAGAAUCCUGGAACAGCUCAUCCUUAUGAUAGUGGCCACAUAGCAAUGACCUACACUGGCCUUUCAUGCCUAGUUAUUCUUGGAGACGACCUAAGCCGAGUAAAUAAAGAAGCUUGCUUAGCAGGCUUGAGAGCGCUUCAGCUAGAAGAUGGAAGUUUUUGUGCAGUACCUGAAGGCAGUGAAAAUGACAUGCGAUUUGUAUACUGUGCUUCCUGUAUUUGCUAUAUGCUCAACAACUGGUCUGGCAUGGAUAUGAAAAAAGCCAUCAGCUAUAUUAGAAGAAGUAUGUCCUAUGACAAUGGGUUGGCACAAGGAGCUGGACUUGAAUCUCAUGGAGGAUCAACUUUUUGUGGCAUUGCAUCACUGUGCCUGAUGGGUAAACUAGAAGAAGUGUUUUCAGAAAAAGAAUUGAACAGGAUAAAGAGGUGGUGUAUAAUGAGACAGCAAAAUGGUUAUCAUGGAAGACCUAAUAAGCCUGUCGACACCUGUUAUUCUUUUUGGGUGGGAGCAACUCUAAAGCUUCUAAAAAUUUUCCAAUAUACUAACUUUGAGAAAAAUAGAAAUUACAUCUUAUCAACUCAAGAUCGCCUGGUCGGGGGAUUUGCCAAGUGGCCAGAUAGUCAUCCAGAUGCUUUGCAUGCAUAUUUUGGAAUUUGUGGCCUGUCACUAAUGGAGGAAAGUGGCAUUUGUAAAGUUCAUCCUGCCCUGAAUGUAAGCACACGGACUUCUGAGCGCCUUCGAGAUCUCCAUCAGAGCUGGAAAACUAAGGACUCUAAACAGUGCUCAGAGAAUGUACACAUCUCCACAUGACUAACUUUAGAUUGGGAGGGUGGGGGGUGGAUUUGUAGCAUAACUGUAGCUCAAGGUUAAAAGCCAUGUAUAACCAAGUGUGCUCUUUUUUUAAGAGGGAGAGUCUUGCAAUCAAAUCUUGUGCUGAUGUCACUUUGGGGUAUGGUCUUGAGCUAGUAACCUUCAUACUAGUUUUCAAGAAAAUCUUUGUUGAAGUUUGAACCACAGUGGAUUCUAUUGUGGUUCUUAAAUGUUUAUACUGUAUUUCUAAGUUCUUUGAGGCAAAUUAACUGUAUGUAUGUAGGUUAUCUUUUUAAAAAACUCUUCAGUACAAAAUUGUAUCAUAUUAGAAAAUGGACACAAAUCUUCAGAAGAAGUUUACAGUUCACAUAGCAUUGAUAAUCUUGGGGUGAACACUUAGUGAUCAUUUUAAAAGCUUGACUGCUGAUGGUAGAACAUUGCUUUAAUGAAUUAAGUAUCUGGGAUUAUUCUGUGAAAACAUGAUCCCAUAAUUUUUAAAAAGUAUAAUGAUUUAUUUUGUCUUAAGUAAAAUGUGCCAAUUAAACUUUUGUGGCCUAUACAAAUGAAAUUAACUUCAUAGCAAGAGUGAAUAGGCUUAACUAAUACAAUACUUUUCUAAAGGGCGAUUGUUUUAAGAAGACUAUUAUGUAACUGAGGGAGAAGUAAUUUAACUGUAUGUGAUUGUGAAUGGGAAAGUUUUGUGCUGUGUGGGUCAUUUUAGAUGUUGCUGGGGUAAAUAACAGUUAUGUUUGAUUUUAAUCUCUAAUCAUUAGUCGGGUUUUUUUUCCUUUCUGCAGAGAAAACAGUCUUAUCUAGAAGGGAAGACAUUUAGUAGUUUUGUUUCUUUUUCUGAGAUAUGUGAUACUGUAAAUUGUACUUUUAUAAGUGAGUUAUUUUUAGCCAUUUGGAUUUUUUGUUGUUGUUGUUGUUGCCCCCAGUGUGUUAGCUGCUCUAAUUUGAAACUGAUGAUUUUCUAAUUUUUUCAAAUUGAAUAAGUAAACAUUUAAGUAAAAAAAAAUAGCACCACUCAAGUAAAUUUUAUGGUGUAGCUCCAUACACGGUCAUUCAUAUUUUUGUAUUUUCAGGUAAGUGGGAAGGAACCAUUUAGGGGUUAAGGACUGGGGUUUUGCUUUGUUUUGUUUUCUUCAUUCUAUGAUCUAGCUAAUUGUAAAGGAGUUAGUGUAAAAACUCAUCUUUAUUAGUAAUCAGUUUAUCAAUAAAUCACAUCUAUCACUGUUGCUCUGUGACAUUCAAAGUUAUGAGAGUAGUGCUGAAAUGGAGAAGGAAAUCUCUUCACCAAAGGGACUACAUUUAAGUUAAAGUCUUGGUGAUAAUAAAUGUUGGAUUAUUAGUUUUACAAGUAUCAGUAUAAAAACUAGAUUACUAGUAUCACUGUUCAGGUAUUUAAAUUUUUAUUUUAAUUUCUUUCCUACAGUGGAGAAGAAAUAUCCUUAAAGAAUGGUCCUUCCCAGGGGAAACCUAGUAUAUACCUGGAGAAAUGAUUCAUUUAUUAUUGGCAUGCUUAGUUUUAAAACUCAGUUUGCCAAAGUCAAUUUUUAAAAUUUUAAUUAGAAAUAAAAUCACUUUUCUGAUGGUGGGGAAAAAAAUAAGCCUAAAAACAGAUGUCAUCCUUCCAUGAGUUAUUCCAGUUUGUAGCGGUUUAAAUCUUGACAAAUUGACAACUGCAUCUCAAACUAACUCAUUUCUUAGACAUCAGGAGUUAAAAUGGCAUAUAUGUAACAGCUUUAGAACUAUUGAAAAAGCUCCAGUUUCUUUUUUCCUGAAUUGCCAUUAGUGGUUGGAAGCUUAAAAAGUUAGUAAUAGUAACCAUAUUCAUAUGAAGGAGAAUUCCAAGGUGAAAGUAUUUCGUAAAACUACUAAAUAUUUUCUAACUCCUUGUGUAAUUUAAUAAUGUAAGGUUCUAUAUUACAGUAUGAUUCUAAUUGAUAUACUCGUGAGAGGCCUUUUUGUGAAACUUUAUGAACUGGUGAAUAUUCACAUUCCAUAGCAGCAUAUUGACCAAAAAAAUACCAGGCCAUUGUGAAUUGUGGAGAAACUAUUUCCAACUUUUUCUAAAAGUUACUUACAAGGAAAGUAUUAAUAAAAUAAAUUAAAAGCACUAUUUCAUAUAUAUAUACUUGGUUGUUUAGCAGUGGUGAUACAAUGAGAAAGGGGAAUGUGAAGUCUCAGUAACUCUGUUCCCUCUGCUCUACCCCCAUCUCCAAUAUGGUAUUUUUUAGACUAUGGUAGGAGAAGCCUUGUUUUGAGCAUAUGCAUGAAAGCAAGUUUGAUCAGAUCAUACAACACAACUGAGCCUUUUUAUCAUCUGCGGUGCUUUUAGAUGACCUAUCAUAUGUAUACAUUUUAAUUACAUCUUUAAAUAAUUAUUUAUAAAUAUUUAAAUUCAAAUAGAAAUUUUGCUAACAAUGAUACAUAGUUUGAAGCUGUUGGGCCUGAUAAUAUUUGAGAAUCAGUAUAGUAAGGAGGUGCUCUGGAGUCAGAUGACUUGGUUUUAAAUUCUAGAUCUGUCAGUUCACCAGUGUAAUCUUGGACCCUAACUUACCCUUUGGUAAAAUGAGGGGGGAAAAUCUAACUCAAGUUUUUUUGUAGAUCAAAUGAGAAAAUACAUAUAAAGUACUUAGCAUAGUGUCUGAAAUACAGUAAAUCCCUAAUUAUAAUUUCUGUCAUAACCAUCAUAAAAUUGUUUUUAAAACUUCUCUUUUUAUAAUAGAGAUCCCACAGAGUUUAAACUGGAGGAAGAUGAUGGCAGCAGGGUAGUUUCUGAAUCUCCCCAUUUGAAUCCAGAGUAACUAGGAUAGCCACAGACCCUGUUCUACAAAACUAGAUGACAGGGUGUCGCCAUGAACUUCCAAAUACAAUUUUAUAAGGACAAACCACUGACCAGCAUAGUUUUAGCAUCUGUGUGGGAGGAAGUGAAAGGCAGGCAGCUGGUUGCUGACAGCCUUGAGAGUAGAACUAUAAACAUUGCCCACAGUUUCUCACUGGAAAGUGCAGUGGGCCAGUCUGAGAACAGAAGCUGAAACUGGGAGGGGUUCUGCAGGUCCCAAUUUGCAGGUAACUGUUAGAGCAAUUUGCAGGUCUGAUGGUUGUGCUGGAGCAGUCUGGGCCCUGUCCUGUAUACAUCUUAAAACUAAGGAGACAAAGCCUAGCUAGAAUUAGAAUCCAAAUUGGACAGGAUAGGUACAAUAGGACGAAGAGAAGAGAGAGUCCAGAUAAAUAAUUGGGAGGGAAGGUCAAUAUACAUAGACAUUAUAUGGGGACAUAGACAAUCUUUUAAAUCACUUUGUGAAAACGAAACAGGAACUUUAGGGCCAUAGAGCAAAGAAAAGGCAUCCUGGGGCACCCCUUCCUCCUAAAAGUACAGGAAAACUUACUUCAUGAAAACCAAAACCCAAGAAGGAUCACAGUCAAAGCCCAUUCAAAAUUGUUUUAAGGAAUUAAAGAAUAAGCAGCCCAGUAUCCCCACAAUGAAAGCACACCAGAAGGACAUGACCACAAGACUGAUGAAAACCCAGUAUUUUUAAAAAGCCAUUAUGACAGGAAAUUUAUAGUUUUAGAACACUAUCCAUAAACGUGGGAAAAGCUAAGAAUUAUACAAUCAAGUCUGGAAAACUAGAGGAAAAAGCAAACCAAAAGGAAGUGGAAGGGAUUAAUAAAAAGGGGGAAGGAGGGAAGACAGGAUAGACAAACCAACAGCCAACCUUUUCAAGAAAAAUAGGAACCAAAAACACAGAAGUUUAAAUGACAAGAGAGAAAUAACCAUAAAACAGAUUUUGAAAAUUAACACUGCUUUCAGUAAUUUUAUAUAAUAAACAAGAAAGUAAUAACUUUUCUUAGAAAAAUGCCAUUUGCCAAGAUUACCCUAGUAGAUACAGAAAUUGAAAACAAAUGGACACUUUACCAAAAAAAAAAAAUCAGGUCCAAAAUGUUUCAAGGGUAUUUCUACCAAACUGUCAUGAUUAAAUAAUCCUAAUGUUGUUUAAACAAUUCCAGGCGCUAAAAAGAGACUCUUGAACCUCAAAGGAAAAAAAACACAAGCAAAAAAGACUUCUAAAUUCAUUUUAUAAAGUGAACAUGAUAGUAUUUCUAAAACCUGACAAGAUGGUACCAAAGAGAAAAUUACAGACUGCUCUGACUUAUGAAUAUAUCAGUGCAUAAAUGUUAACAAUACAUUAGCAAAAAAUUCAAUAGCACUUUCAAAAAAUAUUAAGUCAUGAGUAAGCUGGAUUUAUUAUAGCAAUGCAAGAAUAAUUUAAUAUUAGACAAUCCAUUAAUAUUAAUAUUCAUUAAGAGUUAAGGAGAAAAAUAUGAUUAUCUCCAUCUUUUCAGAAAAGGUAUUUGACAAAAUUGAGCACUCGUUUAUGUUAAAUAUACUUAGUAAGUAGAAAUUGAUGAGUAAUUCAUCGACCUUGUACCUCUGCCCAAAAGCCAGCACCUUAAUGUCGAUACAAGAGGCUUUCCUGCUAAAGUCAGGAACAAGGCCCACCAUCUCCUCUGCUACUUAACUUUGUGUUGGGGGAUUUAGCCAAUGAAGUUAGACAAAAGAAAACAAAGACAUGUGAAUUGAAAAGGAGGAGGAAAACUGUUCACAAAUAUGAUUUUAUAUCUGGAAAACCCAAAUGAAUUUGUUGAAAAGCCAUAAGAGAACUUAGAAAAGUAGCAAUUGCAUACAACUAACAUAAAAAUAUCAGUAGCCUCCACCAGACACAAAAAGUGCAUACUCUGAUUCCAUUUAGGUGAAGUUCAAAAUGGACAAAAUUAUCUAUGGUGUCAGAAGUCAGUGCCCCCAUUUAGUUGCUGCCUCCCUCCUCAAAGGUAAGCACUAUCAUGACUGAAAUCACCAUCAGUUUUGUCUGUUUUUGAACUUUCUAUAAGUGGAAUCAGAAUCAGCACAUUAGUUUUCAGCUGGCUUCUUUUGCUCCACAGGGACUGAAAGAGUGCAAGGCAGAGUCUGGUGCUGGCGAUAUUCUGUUUCAUGAUUUAGGUGCUGGUAACAUAGGUGCAUUCACUUUAUGUAUCAAGCUGUACACUUAAGAUCUGUGCACUUUUCUGUAUGUAUAAUUAUAGUUCAAUAAAAAUGUUUACUAAAAAGAAUAAAAGACUAUAUAUAUAUAUAAACCUCAACUAGUUAGAAGAUGUUCUUGAAGAGAAGGUCCCUUUUAUGACUGGAAAAAAGAAAACAAAACAAAAAAAACAAGAAAUGUAUAUGUAAACUUAAGAGGUCCAAAAUCUGUAUGAGAAAAUCUUAAAUAAAACUCUUGAAAGCCCUCCAGGUGGCUCUGGUGCACACUGAAAUUUGAGAACCAAUCACUGAUUUAGAAAAAGCAGCUUGGGCUAGGAGAAGCAGGUAAGAACCCCAUAAUUAUUUGCAAAUUUAAAUUUUAAAAAGAAGUUUUAGUUAACAGUAAGCUGACUGCAGUUCAACAAUGUGAUCUUUGUUCCCACCCCCCAAAAAGGUACUGUGAUCUUAGUCUGUGGUAGUAGGGUUGAGAUGUAAUGAAUGCUCAGCUAUGCAAAGAAAAUAUAAUAUUUAUUUUCUCACAUGGACCCAAUCUUCACUUGCCCGUAUCUUUGGCUAUGAAGGGGUAGAGGAGGCUAAGGAGCGUGGCUAUUUAAAUUUGUCAGCUAACAAACAAUCUCAGUCUUCUAAUGUCAGUGUUUUGUUUUUUUUUUUUCUCCUGUUCCUUGUUGUCUGGGUAUAUGUGCCUCCUGGCAGUUGGGGGGGCCUUUGUUGCAGGUUGCUGCUCUAAUCUGGUGUCUACUAAGGUGUCUGCUGCUGGUCUAGUGUGGCCUUUCCAGGUGGGUUGCUGCCGUAUGCCUGAUUCCACAGUCCCAGCAGUGCAGCAUUUUUGCUCUAAUCCCAGGCUACCACCAAUCUCCCUGAUUUUAGUGAUUCUGUAUCUGCACCUUCCAGUCCUCUACACACACACACCCCUACACAUACAUCCCCACACCCACCCCAUCCCUUUGGCCUAUGCAGAAACUCCUGGGUCUUUGUUCCUAAAACACUAUCUUCAUUUCAUUUAUCUAGUAACCUCCCCUCCCACUUCAAUGGUACUGAGCCACCCUGGAUGUAGAGGUAAGUUAAACUAUUUCUCCUAGGACUGUAACCUCUUCUAGGAAGCCUGGAGAAGCAGGUCAGAGGGCCACCUCACAUACCACAUGUCUAAAUAUUUAAGAGUUACAAAUCACACUAGAAAAGUAUGUUCUAUCCUCCUAGGCUGACAAAUGUAAUAGCAGAUUUAGGGGGGUGGGGCAGUGGAGCAAGUCAUACCAAAUAAUUGUGAAUAGUGUAAAUGCACAAUUAACUUCAUUUUCUACCUCAGGCUAUGACUGGCAGUGGCUGCUGCUGGGCUGGAGCAGGACAGGCAAAGGGAGAUUUCUCCCUGGCUUGCUGGCCUCCCAGCCCUGGGCUCUCUGCAGUCAUUAGAGAGACUCACAGAAUAUGCAUCCACUUUUUCUUCUUGGAGUGUAGGGGGUGGCUCUUUCACCCCUACUUGAUCUCUCUCCGCUCCCUGCACCUCCUCCGUCUGACAACAAAGUUUCUCUUUACGCCACACGGUCUGAGUCAAGUGAUCUUUGCCCACAUACACGUCUAGACUCCUACCCUACCAACAUCACCCUAUCAAGCGUCUCAAAGGAAACUGAGGCUCAAAUCUGGAAACCUUGGCCUCCUCAGGGUUCCCAGCCCAUGGCCAGCCCUCUUUCUCCAACCUAGGCCCCCUCCCACACCUGAGGGGCUCCCUUAUGCUCAUAACAAGCUCCAUAUCACCUCAAGCUCCCCCAGGCCGCUGCUCCAUCAUCACACCUGGGACCCAGAUGUGUAUACACACCCUGGCAGCACUGUCCAAAAAGGACCCAGGAGAACCCCAUGCAGGCCCUGAAAGUUGGCUCACAUGGGAAUUCCAUGAUCUCUGGUACCUGGCGUCAUGCUCUAGAAAAGGAGCCCAUCAGUGUCUUAUGGAGAGCACUGGAAUGGGGCCCUCUUUCCCGAAUCUAAGGGCAGUACUGACAGACUACCAGCAGCUAUGUUCUUAGUUUCCUUCACACCUGUCUAGACCUUGCUACUAGGCAUUCCACACACUUCUCCUCUGCCCAUCUCUUUCAUCCUUUCCACACUUUCCCAGGGCUGGGAGUAAAUAAGAUUUUGCCCCUUCGUUUGUGGCAGGGACUUUCAUUUUCUGAGUUCUCUCUACCAUUGCCUUGACAUGUUAACUGAAGUUUGAGAAAAUCCUUUCUCAAGUGACAAAGGCUGGCUUUAUGAUUCUUAUUUUGCUGUAUACUCUAAAGUUGCUUAUUUCUUCCCUUUCUCAUUGCUGUAGUAUGCUAAACCUCUCAAGGUAAAUAAAUGAGUGCCUCUGGUGGAACAGGAAAUGCAAAGGCAAAAAACACAUCAAAGUUUUUCAAAGUUAGUAUCCUUGCCUAUUAAAAUAACACUUUAAUAGAAGUAGGGCAGCUAAAAUGAAGGAGGUGAUGACACCACUGUGCUGUGUACUGUUGGUUUCAAGGUACCAUGUAUUAAAAAGGUCAGAAGUGGGAAGAUGAGGCUCUCUAGGGGGGCAAGGAGAAAUGGGCCAUAUUUAUCAUAUGGAAAAUAUCUAGAGAGCCGUUCUGUGGAAUCAGGUUUAGAUUCAGUGCUAACUUCAGAAUUUCUUUUUAGUGGGGGCUUAGGGUGUGGCCAGUAAGAAGGUGAGGCCUAGGGGGCUUGCCUUGAAGUUGAUUUGCAUUUAUCACUGAACUCUGUUUAUUGUGUGUUCAUUUGAGCUGGCUUUAGAGAGAGCAGGUGAGGAUUAGGGGUUAAUCUUAACAUACCCUUGCUUAGUCACAUCCUGCUCCACCAGUAACUGGAGUGCUCAAAACUUUAUAAACAUGCACAACAAAUAAUAUUUUUGAAUAGAAGAAUUGAUAAAGGAAUCCCUGUGUGACAGAGAUAAAGGACUUUACAAUGUCAGAGCUGCGUGAAGUUGGAAUGGAACCAGUAAGCUCCCUGCCCUGGAGAAGGUAAGCUCAGCUGGAAGGCAGGGAAGGAGCAGAGGACCACAGGCUGGCAGUGUAUAGCUAGACUCACUUUCAGAUGAUGUUCAGUUUGGACAGAGAAGUGUCAAACAGGAAAACAAACACCAUUAUUUUAGAGCAUUACCCCAUUUCUCUAAAAGCAUUCCUAUUGCCUGUUCUUGAACAAACUGCAUUUUCAGAGUAAACAAAUCAUCCUAGUUGAUGAGGGAAAGUUCCAGUUUUCAGAAAAAUUCUCAGUUUAAAUGUAAAAGGAAUGAUGGAGGUAGAAAAGAACAAUUUUGCAAAUGCUCAUAAAUUCUAGGCCAAAAUCAUCAGUGGAUACUGAAACCAUUAGGAGAAAAGGUGAUGGAGAACUUUAAAAUGGAAGGCUCAUGCUGCCAGCACCUGAAUCCACUAAUCAAUCCUGUGGUCUCUAAAAGGAGAACAAUCAGACAGUAAGAGCCUCCUGACUAAUGCCCUGUGAGGUACACAGUAGUAGCUAUAAAGUAUCAUUGCCAAAAACAGCAGAGACUGAAUCUCAUCAAUCUGCUAGAUCCAGCAUCUAGAUCUCACCAGUGAAGUGGGAAAAGUAAAAUGGCACCACAAGGGAGCAGUCAGGCGUGUCAGAGGUAGCACAUCCUAAAGAUAAAUCUGGUUUCUUCAACAAGCCAAUGGCAUAAAGAAAUGGAGGGGAAGGGAUAAGGCAGACUUUUAGAUUACAAGAAAUAUGAGACAUAACACAUGGACCUAAUUUGGGUUUGGGUUCUUAUUUGAACCAACUAACUUUCAAAAGACAUUUUUGAGAGGACUAGGGAAAUUUGAUAUGAACUAGAUAUUUGGUGAUAUUAAAUAAUUAUUUUUAAUUUUGUUAGUUGUGAUAAUGGUUUGUGUUAUACAAAAUUUUUUAGAGAUACAUUCAGAAUUUGGAUUGACAGAUUCAGCGCUGAACUUUUAAAAAGGUGAGACUCACCUCCAAAGCUUUGCAUUCAGAAGGUUAUGGUAGAGACAGGAAUCUUUAACGUUCCACAGGUAAUUCUGAUGAGAAGCCAGCUUUAAGAAUCACUGUAUAACUCAAAAGGUCCAUUCUAACAUGGAGAGUAGAUGAUCUUAAGGUGACUUCAGGCUGAUAAAUGUGUGUUUCUUAAAUAGUAGUUAAUAGUAGCAGUUAAUAGUAGUAGCUGGAAGCAGGAUCUUUAGGAGAUAGUCAAAAUAUGUAUAUGUACCUCCCCCAGCCCCGCCCCGUGCAGCACCACAGCCCUGCCCAGCCCCAGAAGUUCAUCAGUAUUAAGAAGCCUGAAGAUUUGGAAGAGAAGAAGAAAAAAAAAGAACAAGAAGAGCUUUAAGACAAGAUGCCCCAAGAGGAAAGUGAUUGUUACGGCCUAAAUCAGCAGUAACAAUGCUGCAAGUGUCAUCAUGCUUUUUAACCACUUAGACAUCUGUCUUCUCUUUUUUUUUUAAAGGUAAGCAAUUAUAUCAGAAAAAUUUUAAUCAGGACAAAAGGGUUACUGCUGAUGAGAAGUUCUCCCUCCCACACGGACCCCCAUUCUGCAGCCCUCUGCAGAGGCCACACGUGUGACCAGCUUCUAGAAAUGGACCUACAGAUGCACCCACAUACGUGUGAAUACGUUUAUAACUCACAUGCUUACAUACGAUGGUGACCUCAAGACCAGCUCAGCAGAAACUCAAGUUUUCAGUUGUUUACCACAGCCUGGAAUUUUCCUUUUCCAGAUUUCUAUUACCAGUUAUUAGGAAAAAUGGUCCAUUUAAUCAUCUCUGUUAUAUUUUGAGAGGACUUAGGAAUGACUUAAAUUAACAUAAAAAUAAUUAAACAAUAAUAACUGGAAGUUCAUAGAACAAGAUUCUUAUUUCUCAUUUCCACCACUCCUUUGUUGCCCCUGUGUAGUGGAAACUUUGAGCUUUGAGCUUGGUAGAGCUGGGCUGCUGCAGACACCACCACAGGCUGGAUGAACUGAGUCCCCCGCAGAGGUGAACUGGAACCAAGGUUUCAGUCUCCUGACACUUAAUGCUUGAGGAGAGAAGGCUCACGCCAACAACCAAUAUCAGCAGCUUUGGGUAACGGGCCAUUUGUUGCAACACUGUGGUUUCUCAGUAGGAAACCAGAUUGUGGUUCUUAUGGUGCAGAGCUGCUUGUUUGGACCAGCUUGUCUUCUCCACCUUCCUCACAUCACAGAACACAUGGAGAAUAUUGUAGGGUACCCACAGUAAGCCCAGGAGGUAGCUUAUGGGCAGAAUCCCAGAGGCUCUGUUGGCCCAGGUCCUACCCUAAACCCUUCCUCUCAAAGGAUUAAAGGUAGCAUAAUAUAGCACACAGGUGAUCCAUUCCAGCUACUCGAAUUGGCGAGUAUCUGCUACCUAAGUGAGGCCUGAGAACCAUUUCAUUGCAGCAGCAGCACCUGACACUUAUUAGAAAAGCUAACACUCGGACCCAUUGAAUCAGCAUCUGUUUUAACGAGCUCCCCAUGAGUCUUGUGAACAUUAAGGUUUAAGAAGUGCUGUCCACGGGGUAACGUGUACCUCCCUAGCAUGGUGUAUAAGGCCCUGAGCACCUAAGCCCUGCCUCGCUUUCCAGCCUCACUUUUGGUCAUUCCCCUCUCCCCAACCCAUAGUUCUUGAAGGCACUCUGCUCUCUCUGUUCUUUACUUUGCACAGACUGCCUCUCAGCCUAGAACGUCCUUUACUUGCCCUUCUGAACUCUUACUUAUCCUUCAACUGUCAACUUAAAAGUCAAGUUCCACCUGCCCAGCUGAAUUAGGCAGAGCGAGACACUGGCCCGUUUUAGUCUUACUCCCACCCUGUUGCUCCCUGGUUUUGAUUAUGUGCCUCUGCUAAAGAACUUCCCACAUUGGACAGUAAUUACUUGUUUGUUGUCCAUUGUCUCAGGCAGACUGUGAUUGCUUGGUGUCAGCAGCUUUGGCUUACUCAUCUUUGAAUUUCUAGGUUGUAACACAGACCACACAUGGUAGGUGUGAAAGUCAUGCUUAUUGGAUAAAUCAAUCAGUGAAUCUUGGCCAUUUUUACUGGAAAGCGAUUUUCCUAAAACAGUAGUGUAUAUAAUAUUUAUAAAUCAUUACAAAAUAAUUCUGUUUGUAUGCCUCUGACUUGUGGCCAGUUUCAUGAAAUGCAGUAUAACAUGUAAAACUAUUUCUUAAAUCCCUCAGGCCAGAUGUGAAAUUAUGUUCUUUUUCACGAUUUAAUGUACAAUAACAAAAGUAUUGCAAAGAGAAAUUAAAUCAUAUCCAAUAAGUUGCAGAGGAAAAACAUCUUCUGAAAUGACUAAUGUGUACUAAAUCACCAUUCAUUGCUUAUUUUUAAAAAAUGUAACACUAAAUACUGAUCACUUUUUCCUUAAACAUACUAAAAAAAAAAAUUCCUGAUUACUAGCUAUUCUGCAUCCACUUUAAAAAUCAUAUUCUUGUAUCCUUUUUCUUCCCCAAGUAUUGUAAACUUACCUCCACACACAUCCUCAGCCAGCCUUUUCCAGACACCAUUUUUAAAAUCCUCUUCUGGGUGUUAAGGUCAUUUCACUGUGUUAGGAAGACUCAUAAAAGGAAGAUGUUAUAAAAGACCAAUUUCCCCCUGAGGGCUGAACAAUUAUUGGGGUAAUUUACCAAGGAUUUGCAGCCUGUAAGACCACACCAGCUGCUGAACAAAGCCAAGCAAAUAGUUUCUUUCCUUUUCUGUGUUUAGGAAAAUGAGUGUGAAGGAAAGGACGUCAACUCUCUCAGGAUAUGACAUAGGCAUUGUCUUUGAGAGCAGGAACUUCUAGGACAUGAGAGAGGGGCUGGUGGUGACAGAGAAGACUCCAGGCAGAGACAGAAGAGGACCCAACAGCUCGCUGCUCAUCAUCUUCAGAAAAUAUGGAAAGGGAGCAAAUAAUUUCAUAAAUAUAUAGAAUAAAACUAGCAGAGACAGCUGAUUUGGAGCCUCCAGUUUAGGAAAUUGCUUCUUUAAUUCAGAGACUCAUUAUUAAAAAGAAAGAAAAAAAUCCCUUGCAUUUGCAAAAUGGGCUUUGUACAGUGCCUAAGACCACAGCCUAGAGGACUGAAGAGUUACCAUGGCCCCUCAAAUCUCCCACAGGGAGGAAACGGGGCCAGGAAGUGGUUCACAACCUACAGAAGAAAUGCCUAUGCCCCACAAUCAAAGGGUAUAAGAAAAUAGCAUUAAUUUACCUGGUCCCAACUAGUUAAUCAGUCAAUAAAAGCUCAGAUAGAAAAUUCAGGCUGUCACACUCUCUUAAGAACACCAACAUAGCUCACAGUCCAGAAGAUCCUGCACGGAUCUCCUUUCUCUUUUUAUACCUCAGAGACACAGGAGGAAGCCAAGUAAAUUGGACCAUAACUUUUUUUGCCUUUUUCUUUUUUCACUAUUUUGCUAUUCGUUUAUAUCAAAGCCCUUUCAUGUUCUCACAAGAUUUGGGCCACUGAAUGGAAGAUUUAUGCCCUGCCAGAAAAUGGGCUUCAGUUCUGCAGUCCCACUCCUGCCACCAAGUGAACUUUCAGAAGAGCCUUUGGGGCUGUAGCAAAUUAGAUGCAGCAGGACCUCUGAGGAACCAAGAAACAUAUUUUCCCUAACCAGGGCUCACCUGCACUUCAGGCUGAGAUUUUUCCUGGGGCUAAAGGGCCACCUCCCAUCUGGGGGAGCCUUUCCUCCCAGCUCCCUCAAGACACUCUCCACAUGUCUGCCUUGGCACUUAGCUUCUUGUAUUGAAAAUAACAAUGUAUUUGUCUCUCCC